rnacentral:rRNA from 1 species
UACGUAGGGGGCAAGCGUUGUCCGGAUUUAUUGGGCGUAAAGAGCUCGUAGGCGGUUUGGUAAGUCUGGUGUGAAAUCCCGCGGCUCAACCGCGGAACUGCCUCAGAUACUGACGGUCUCGAGGGAGGUAGGGGCGAGCGGAACUGAUGGUGGAGCGGUGAAAUGCGUUGAUAUCAUCAGGAACUCCGGUGGCGAAGGCGGCUCGCUGGACCUCUUCUGACGCUGAGGCGCGAAAGCCAGGGGAGCAAACGGG